GCAACUUCUGCCUCACAGGUUCAAGCAAUUCUCCUGCCUCAGCCUCCUGAGUAGCUGAGAUUACAGGCACACACCACCACGCCCAGCAAAUUUUUGUGUCCUUAGUAGAGACGGGGUUUCAUCAUGUUGGCCAGGCUGGUCUCGAACUCUUGACCUCAUGAUCUGCCCACCGCAGCCCCCCAAAGUGCUAGGAUUACAGGUGUGAGCCACUGCACCCCGCCCUACUGUUGGCUUUUAACUGAUUAAACAUAAAACUGGAACAGAGGCUGUGGCUCACGCCUGUAAUCUCAGCACUUCAACAGGCCAAGGCGGGAGGAUCACUUGAGCCCAGGAAUUCAAGAGACCAGCCUGGGCAACAUAGAAAGAUUGUCUGUACAGUUUUUUUUCUUUUUUAAUUUAGCUGGGUAUGGUGGUGCUCACCUGUACUCCCAGCUGCCCAGAAGACUGAGGUAGAAUUGCUUGAACCUGUGAGGCAGAGCUUGCAGUGAGCCGAGAUCGUGCCACUGGACUCCAGCCUGGGUGACAGAGCAAGACUCCUUAGAAAAGGAGAGGAGAGGAGGGGAGGGGAGGGGAGAGGAGAGGAGAGGAAGAAAGGAAGGAAGAAAGAAGACAAAAAACUGUGUCUCCGAUGAACUUGUUGAGCCACUGGAUUCAUGAACACUGAUGUAUAUUAUACUUUGGAUUUCCAGACUGAUUGACCCAGGAGCCAUUCCCAACCUGCUUCUGCCUGGUGGCUUUGCAGUAUUGAGGCUGCAAGAGUUAAACACUUGUUUGCCCGUCUUCACAGCUGCUACGCAAGAAUUCUGGCCUGGAAGAUUGAUGUGCAUUUCUGGGAGUGCUUUUGGUUUACUAAUAAGAGAAACACACAAGGCUGGUCCUGCCCUUCCUCCUUAUUUCUCCUCAGAAGCUGAGUACAAUCAUGGUGAUGGAGCGUGAUCCUGUGACCAAAAGGCUACAAGUCUAAGAGAAAAGUUAGGCUUCUAUUAAUCAUCUGUGCCACCCAUGCCAAUGAUGAGGAAAUGUACUCUAACUAUUGACUGAGUUUUCUUUUAUUUACUGUACAACAAAUCAAAAUAGAUACAAGUGCUGACAAAAGAAAGUGCAAUAUUCAAUUCAAGAAACAUUUAUUGGGCAACUGCUAAGUGCAAGACACUGUAUUUAGUGGCAAUGUGGAUAUAAAGACCAACAAGUCACAGUUCCUGUUCCCAAGGAGAUUCUAACCCAAAGAGGAAGAUAGGCCUUAUAGGGUAAAAUGGGAUCACUGUUCACAUCCCCAUCCACCCAUGCCCUCAAAGGCAUCUACCCAGUAACGCCCAGCUGGAUGUGUGACAUACACUGAUGUGGAAUAAAUAUGUGCUGAGUAAGGGAAUGUGAGAUAAAUUCCACUUGCGUGCAUUAAAAAGACUUAAAAUAAGUUUUGAAUGGGAAUUUAAAGGACAGGUAGGAUUUUCACAGGAAGAAAUGGUGGUAGAAAGAAAGGACAGCAUUUUAGACAGAGAGAACAGGAAGCUUAAAAACAUGAAGGCAGUCAUAACAUGUGUAAGGAAAUGGCGAUUGCCCAUAUUCUUUGGGUAAGAAAAGAAUGUGCUACUACAGGUUGAGUAUACCUUAUCUGAAAUGCUUGGGACCAGAAAUGCUCUGGGUUUCAGAAUUUUGUUUGGAUGUUGAAAUACUUGUAGAAUACAUACUAGUUGAACAUCUCUAAUCCAAAAAUCUGAAAUCCAAAAUUCUCCAAGGAGCAUUUCUAUUGAGCAUCAUGUCAACAUCCAGAAAGUUUUGGAUUUUGGAGUAUUUUGGAUUUGAGAUUUUUUGAUUUGGGAAGCUCAAACUCUAUCAGAAAUUUUUUUCUCAACUGG
rnacentral:lncRNA from 1 species